AAGUGCGAUCAUACCAGCACUAAAGCACCGGAUCCCAUCAGAACUCCGAAGUUAAGCGUGUUUGGGCGAGAGUAGUACUAGGAUGGGUGACCCCCUAGGAAGUCCUCGUGUUGCACUCC
rnacentral:rRNA from 1 species